rnacentral:rRNA from 1 species
AUUGAACGCUGGCGGCAUGCUUUACACAUGCAAGUCGAACGGUAACAGGGAGCUUGCUCCGCUGACGAGUGGCGAACGGGUGAGUAAUGCGUCGGAACGUGCCGAGUAGUGGGGGAUAACGCAUCGAAAGGUGUGCUAAUACCGCAUACGUACUGAGGUAGAAAGUGGGGGACCUUCGGGCCUCACGCUAUUCGAGCGGCCGACGUCUGAUUAGCUAGUUGGUGAGGUAAAGGCUCACCAAGGCGACGAUCAGUAGCGGGUCUGAGAGGAUGAUCCGCCACACUGGGACUGAGACACGGCCCAGACUCCUACGGGAGGCAGCAGUGGGGAAUUUUGGACAAUGGGCGCAAGCCUGAUCCAGCCAUGCCGCGUGUCUGAAGAAGGCCUUCGGGUUGUAAAGGACUUUUGUCCGGGAGCAAAUGCCUGGUGUUAAUAGCAUCGGGAGCUGAGAGUACCGGAAGAAUAAGCACCGGCUAACUACGUGCCAGCCGCCGCGGUAAAAC